rnacentral:lncRNA from 1 species
AAGUGCCCCGGAUAGCUCUGAUCAAUUGUGACCCAGCAAUCCCCCGUCUGGGUACGAACCCGGGAGAACUGGCCUGCCGAGCGAGCCGCACUCACAGGGCCGCAUUCACAAAGCCAAGAAGGAGAAGCGGCUCGUGUGUGGGCGGAGACUGGACAGGCUGGCGACAGGGUGUGGUCCCUGCACCGUGGGCCGCUCCUCCUCGGGCUGAGGCAGGAAGGGCCGCCACUCAGGUGGGCCUGGAAGACAUGCGGUGAAUGAAGAGGACCUUGGGGACCUGUGAGGGACAGCAGAGACGGUUGGAACAGGCAGAGGGAGGACAUGAGGCCAUCACUGUGAACCUCCAGCCAGGACUCACUGAAUCCUGCCCAGCUCACCAGGGUGGGAGCAUCCAGAGAGCCUCAGGAGGAGGCCAAGCCUGGGGCCAGGGGCCGCCCAGUCCCUUCAGCUUCCUUGGAUGGACUUUGCAUGCCAGCUGACCAUGUGGCCACAGCUCAUGACUGAGGGACACUUGCUGACCACUGACCCAGAGUUCACCAAUCUCCCUGCU